rnacentral:rRNA from 1 species
AGGAAUGAGAAGCCAUAAUAAGGUUUCCGUAAGUGAACCUGUGGAAUGAUCAUUU